CUAGCAAUCAGGGAGACUCCGUGGGCGUAGGACCCUCCGAGCCAGGUGUGGGAUAUAAUCUCGUGGUGCGCCGUUUUUUUAAGCCCGUCGGAAAAGCGCAGUAUUCGGGUGGGAGUGACCUGACUUUCCAGACCCGAGUCAUCCCUGGAGUCUCACACUUGAUCUUAGCCAAAAGGCCGAGAAGCGAUCAUCCCUGGAGUCUCUCUGA
rnacentral:antisense_RNA from 1 species